AUUGAACGCUGGCGGCAGGCCUAACACAUGCAAGUCGAACGAGUGGCGGACGGGUGAGUAAUGUCUGGGAAACUGCCUGAUGGAGGGGGAUAACUACUGGAAACGGUAGCUAAUACCGCAUACCAUCAGAUGGGCCCAGAUGGGUUUAACUGGUGGGUGGGGUAACGGCUCAACUAGGCGACGAUCCCUAGCGGGUCUGAGGGGAUGACCGGCCACACUGGAACUGAGAAACGGCCAAGACUCUUACGGGAGGCAGCAGUGGGGAAUAUUGCACAAUGGGGGCAAGCCUGAUGCAGCCAUGCCGCGUGUAUGAAGAAGGCCUUCGGGUUGUAAAGUACUUUCAGCGGGGAGGCGUUACCCGCAGAAGAAGCACCGGCUAACUCCGUGCCAGCAGCCGCGGUAAUUC
rnacentral:rRNA from 1 species